rnacentral:misc_RNA from 1 species
GAUGAAGAACGCAGCGAAAUGCGAUAAGUAAUGUGAAUUGCAGAAUUCAGUGAAUCAUCGAAUCUUUGAACGCACAUUGCGCCCGCCAGUAUUCUGGCGGGCAUGCCUGUUCGAGCGUCAUUACAACCCUCAGGCCCCCGGGCCUGGCGUUGGGGAUCGGCGGAAGCCCCCUGCGGGCACAACGCCGUCCCCCAAAUACAGUGGCGGUCCCGCCGCAGCUUCCAUUGCGUAGUAGCUAACACCCCGCAACUGGAGAGCGGCGCGGCCACGCCGUAAAACACCCAACUUCUGAAUGUUGACCUCGAAUCAGGUAGGAAUACCCGCUGAACUUAAGCAUAUCAAUAAGCGGAGGA